rnacentral:rRNA from 1 species
AUGAACGCUGGCGGCGUGCCUCAUACAUGCCAGUCGAGCGCACAGACGAGGAGCUUGCUCCUCUGACGUUAGCGGCGGACGGGUGAGUAACACGUGGAUAACCUACCUAUAAGACUGGGAUAACUUCGGGAAACCGGAGCUAAUACCGGAUAAUAUAUUGAACCGCAUGGUUCAAUAGUGAAAGACGGUUUUGCUGUCACUUAUAGAUGGAUCCGCGCCGCAUUAGCUAGUUGUAAGGUAACGGCUUACCAAGGCAACGAUGCGUAGCCGACCUGAGAGGGUGAUCGGCCACACUGGAACUGAGACACGGUCCAGACUCCUACGGGAGGCAGCAGUAGGGAAUCUUCCGCAAUGGGCGAAAGCCUGACGGAGCAACGCCGCGUGAGUGAUGAAGGUCUUCGGAUCGUAAAACUCUGUUAUUAGGGAAGAACAAAUGUGUAAGUAACUAUGCACGUCUUGACGGUACCUAAUCAGAAAGCCACGGCUAACUACGUG